CAGUCGCCGCGGUAAUACAGAGGGUGCAAGCGUUAAUCGGAAUUACUGGGCGUAAAGCGCGCGUAGGUGGUUUGUUAAGUUGGAUGUGAAAUCACCGGGCUCAACCUGGGAACUGCAUCCAAAACUGGCAAGCUAGAGUAUGGUAGAGGGUGGUGGAAUUUCCUGUGUAGCGGUGAAAUGCGUAGAUAUAGGAAGGAACACCAGUGGCGAAGGCGACCACCUGGACUGAUACUGACACUGAGGUGCGAAAGGGUGGGGAGCAAACAGGAUUAGAUACCCGGUAGUCCCUGUCUCUUAUACC
rnacentral:rRNA from 1 species